rnacentral:rRNA from 1 species
GGAGUUAGCCGGUGCUUCUUCUGUGAGUGAUGUCCUUCCUGCCGGUUAUUGACCCGCAGGCCUUCUUCCUCACUGAAAGUGCUUUACAACCCGAAGGCCUUCUUCACACACGCGGCAUGGCUGGAUCAGGGUUGCCCCCAUUGUCCAAUAUUCCCCACUGCUGCCUCCCGUAGGAGUCUGGGCCGUGUCUCAGUCCCAGUGUGGCUGAUCAUCCUCUCAGACCAGCUACGGAUCGUCGCCUUGGUGAGCCGUUACCUCACCAACCAGCUAAUCCGACAUAGGCUCAUCCGAUAGCGCGAGGCCCGAAGGUCCCCCGCUUUCCCCCGUAGGGCGUAUGCGGUAUUAGCCUGGGUUUCCCCAGGUUAUCCCCCACUACCGGGCAGAUUCCUAUGCAUUACUCACCCGUCCGCCGCUCGCCACCAGGGAGCAAGCUCCCCGUGCUGCCGCUCGACUUGCAUGUGUUAGGCCUGCCGCCAGCGUUCAAUCUGAGCCAUAGACUACAACUCUCGA